rnacentral:rRNA from 1 species
CCUACGGGAGGCAGCAGUAGGGAAUCUUCCGCAAUGCUCGAAAGACUGAUGGAGCAACGCCGCGUGGAUGACGAAGGUCUUCGGAUCGUAAAACCCUGUUGUUAGAGAAGAAAGUGCGUGAGAGUAACUGUUCACGUAUCGACGGUAUCUAACCAGACAGCCACGGCUAACUACGUGCCAGCAGCCGCGGUAAUACGUAGGUGGCAAGCGUUAUCCGGAUUGAUUGGGCGUAAAGGGAACGCAGGCGGUCUUUUAAGUCAGAUGUGAAAGCCUUAGGCUUAACCUGAGUAGUGCAAUGGAUACUGGGAGACGUGAGUGUAGAAGAGGAGAGUGGAACUCCAGGUGUAGCGGUGAAAUGCGUAGAUAUAUGGAAGAACACCAGUGGCGAAAGCGGCUAUCUGGUCGGUAACUGACGCUGAGGUUCGAAAGCGUGGGUAGCAAACAGGAUUAGAUACCCGAGUAGUC